rnacentral:lncRNA from 1 species
AUGAUGUCACACACCAACGUAUAUGUGUGCAUCGAAAGCAAGGAUGCGCUAACCAAUAUUUUGUCUGAGAGGAUCCUCGUUUCUAGAGAUUGUAUUAAAACCGGCUGUGGAACUACAAAACCACGUGUUUCGAUUGUUAUGCUUAAAAAUAUACGCUUCUACUUCAAUUUAUAUCUUAGCAUAAUUUUGAGGGUCCGAAGGACACAGAGAUUUUUUCUCUCUUUUUAUUUUGUUAUUUUUUUUUUUUUUCUAACAUUAUCUCAAUCAAUUAAGACCCUACACCGGGACAGAUACUUUAUCGCGUGGAAAUACCCUUUUCAGAAUUAAGGUUUUUCGAUGACAAAAAUUCAGGAGUUUCUCGAGAAUAAACUGCGGCCAAGCUGGUUAAUUUUAGUGCCAAGAGAAGGCAGACAUUUCGUCGCCUGCCUAACGUAAGGGCGUUACUACACUCUGCAACAAACCCUGUUUUCCGUACAAUUCAAUGCUUUUCCGGGUUCAUCUCAAUGUGUAGUUACGCCCUUAUGUCAGCCAAAUGACGAAUUGAUUUGUGAUCCAAUAAUACUGCGUAUUGUGCUAACAGGGAUCGUGACGUUACGUUCCUAACUGAUAAUGUUGAGCACUAAUCAAGGUAAAUAGAAAAUUAAAAACGUAUUUCCUUAAAACAACGUUUCCAAAAUAGCACACCAUAAACCGUUAUGAUUAUGGAUUUCUUUAAAAAAUUUGAAUGUCUUUCAUGCUGAGCUUUUCGUGAAACGCUUCUUCUUGCAGAGACAAGAAUUUAAUUUAAAGCUUUUGGCAACAAGGCUCCUUCUCUACAUAGGGUACAUGGUUUCAUUUAACUUGCAGCUCAGAUCAAUCGCACUCAUCGCACUGGUUUCCCUUUGUCCAAUUCACCAUGGGCUUGAUUUGCUGAUUUUUGAAGACAGUUGGGUAAAGCUGAAACAAAGAGAAAAAGAAACUAUCAGUGCAACGAUGUACUUCCCAAGUAGCACAGUGCAACGGAAAUAUUGAAGUAAUUUUGAAAUUUAAUGCAAUCAAAUUUCAAUUUUUGUUACCAUGAAAUUGCAAGAUUUUUACAUUGUAUGGUUGAUAAAUCGUGCUUUUGAAUGACCAAUAAAAUGCGUUCCAUGUAUGAGAAAGGUGGGCAAUUUGCGAUGCAAUAUUGUACUUUCUUCAAUUUUAUUGCAAUAUAAAUUUCAAUAUAAGGAGCCCAUUCAAUCUGUGAACAGAUGACAAACACAACACCCACAAUAACAAAACUGUCCCCCAUGAAAUUGCAAUUAAUUGCAAUCUGCAUGUGCUACUUGGGUUGUCUUAAGUCGGGGCACGUUAGAACGUAGAGAGAGCUAUUUCUUUGAUUGUGAGAAAAACAAGUUAAAACCAGUGACGGAUACUUGGAGCAGGUAAAUAUUGAAACUAAG